rnacentral:rRNA from 1 species
AUUGAACGCUGGCGGCAUGCUUUACACAUGCAAGUCGAACGGCAGCGGGGUAGUGCUUGCACUACUGCCGGCGAGUGGCGAACGGGUGAGUAAUAUAUCGGAACGUACCGAGUAAUGGGGGAUAACCAAUCGAAAGAUUGGCUAAUACCGCAUACAUCCUGAGGGAGAAAGCGGGGGAUCGCAAGACCUCGCGUUAUUCGAGCGGCCGAUAACUGAUUAGCUAGUUGGUGGGGUAAAGGCCUACCAAGGCGACGAUCAGUAGCGGGUCUGAGAGGACGAUCCGCCACACUGGGACUGAGACACGGCCCAGACUCCUACGGGAGGCAGCAGUGGGGAAUUUUGGACAAUGGGGGCAACCCUGAUCCAGCCAUGCCGCGUGUAUGAAGAAGGCCUUCGGGUUGUAAAGUACUUUUGUUAGGGAAGAAAAGGGAAGUGCUAAUACCACUUUUUGCUGACGGUACCUAAAGAAUAAGCACCGGCUAACUACGUG